rnacentral:tRNA from 1 species
AUUUAAGUAGUUUAAUAAUAAAAUAUUGAUUUGUGGUGUCAAAUAUAUAAGUUUAAUUCUUAUCUUAAAUU